GACGAACGCUGGCGGCGCGCUUAAUACAUGCAAGUCGAGCGAGAACCAGGGCUUCGGCCCUGGGGACAGCGGCGAACGGGUGAGUAACACGUGGGUAAUCAACCCCCGACACCGGGAUAGCCCAGGGAAACUUGGAUUAAUACCGGAUGCCCCAUCUGGCUUUCGAGCCGGCUGGAAAAGGGUAGCUUCGGCCUCCGGUCGGGGACGAGCCCGCGGCGGAUUAGCUUGUUGGGGAGGGAAAGGCUCACCAAGGAGACGAUCCGUAGCUGGUCUGAGAGGACGAUCAGCCACACUGGGACUGAGACACGGCCCAGACUCCUACGGGAGGCAGCAGUAGGGAAUCUUGCGCAAUGGGUGAAAGCCUGACGCAGCGACGCCGCGUGAGGGAAGAAGGCCUUCGGGUUGUAAACCUCUUUCAGGAGGGACGAAGCCACUCGGGUUAAUAGCCUAGAGGGUGACGGUACCUCCAGAAGAAGCCCCGGCUAACUACGUGCCAGCCGCCGCCGUAA
rnacentral:rRNA from 1 species